GAAGGAACGGGCAACGGUAGGUCAUCAUGCCCCGAAUGUGCUGGGCUACACCCGGGCUACAAUGGUCGAGACAAUGGGUUCCAACCCCGAAAGGGGACGGUAAUCUCCUAAACUCGAUCGUAUUUCGGAUUGAGGGCUGAAACUCGCCCUCAUGAAGCUGGAUUCGGUAGUAAUCGCGCUUCACAAGAGCGCGGUGAAUACUUCCCUGCCUCCUUGCAAAACCUCUUACCCCUCCCUACUCCUUGCACAUGGGGUUAAAUCAGGCAACAACCAACACUGC
rnacentral:rRNA from 1 species